rnacentral:rRNA from 1 species
GUGGGGAAUCUUGCGCUAAUGCGGGAAACCGUGACGCAGCGACGCCGCGUGAGGGAAGAAGGCCUUCGGGUUGUAAACCUCUUUCAGGAGGGACGAAGCUACUCGGGUUAAUAGCCCAGAGGGUGACGGUACCUCCAGAAGAAGCCCCGGCUAACUACGUGCCAGCAGCCGCGGUAAUACGUAGGGGGCAAGCGUUGUCCGGAUUUAUUGGGCGUAAAGAGCGUGUAGGCGGCUAGGUAGGUCCGUUGUGAAAACUCGAGGCUCAACCUCGAGACGUCGAUGGAAACCAUCUAGCUAGAGUCCGGAAGAGGAGAGUGGAAUUCCUGGUGUAGCGGUGAAAUGCGCAGAUAUCAGGAAGAACACCCGUGGCGAAGGCGGCUCUCUGGUACGUGACUGACGCUGAGACGCGAAAGCGUGGGGAGCAAACAGG